AGGUCCGCUCGUUCGGUUGCUUCCUUCUCAUGUCCACAGACGCGAGGUGAAAACCUAGAUCGAAGGAGAUGCCCAAUCCCGUGCUCGCCUCCACUCCUCUCCUUCCCAAUCCCGUGCGCUCCCCAAGCUGCCGCCAUGGCGGGCGCCUCCUGCGCGUGGGGCAGUGAAACCCUAGAUCCUCUCCUCUUCCCCCUAUGGCGCUCGAGGGGCGGCACUAGGCCGGAGGUGGAGGAGGCCGGCCGCGAGGUUCCAGGGUGCCGCUGCCUCCCCCGUCUGGCGCCCCGAGCUGUGCAAAUCGAAGCGGCGGCGGGAGGAGCUCCAAAUCGAAGCGGCGGACGACGGCACGCGGGAGGAGGAGGAUCAUGGAGGUGGGUGGAGGCGACCGGCAGGCUGCCCCUCCCCCAUGGGGACGGCCGCGGUUGUGGCCUGGAGUAGGUGCCGCAGGAGCACGCACGGAGGAGGCCGGCAGCGAUGCCUCGUCUUCUCCUCUUCCCCCGCCCUUGGCGUCGUCUUCCAGCCAUUAAGGCGCAGCAGGUGCCGAGGAUCCAAGACUCAACAUUAAAAUCGGGUCGAACUGUCGAGGAUCCGUUUCUCGACUUCCUGGAUUUGCCCUUCGCCUCCGCCGAUCUCGAUGAGUACAUCAAAGAGGAUAUCAUUAACAGGGGCAAAUCGGCCGAGCAGAUAGCCAAUGAGGAGGAGAUGGCCUACGAGGAGAAGAAAUUCACUUCGUACCGUAGGUGCUGGGAAGAUCACUGGAAACCAGUUUACGGAUCCUUCCUAUACAUGACGGUUAUCAGUCCUAUGCACUUUACACACUCAACACCUGGACGUGGCCUACAUGACGCCGCCUGCUUUGCGCCCACCUUGCAGAUCUUCACACUCAGACUCGCGGGAAUAAAAGGUGGCCUCGAAUGGCCAUUGUCUGUGUACGGCGUGCCCGAGACGAAGUUGAUCACAAUCGUAACCUUCUCUUCUCUUGCAAUAGAAGCGAGUCUCAAAAACUCGAUCAAGAUCUCAGGCUCCCCUUCUCAUCGCCCUACAGGACAGGAGCGGAGGGUGAACGGCGAGCGGACGAGCGCUGGGUGGAGGAGUGGCUGGGGCGGCGCUGGUCAAGAGGAGGAGCUGCAGCCAUGCAAGGAUCGCUAGGAAGCAAACGGGAAGACACGAGAGAAGGUACUCGUGGUCUCCGCAUCUGAUAGCAUGUAUUGUGAGCUGCUGCCUGGAGGCGGCGGUGGAUGGAUGACACAUUGCAAAGAAGGUUGUUCUCUGAAGCCUUUUGAAUGAGGGAACUCGGUCAUUUCAUCUGCAUCAUCGUUGCAGGUUCCUAUUACACAGAGAGUGAAGUUCAAAUUUGUUGGAUUGAUUGGUGUGUCCCCGAUGGUACCACCGCUAGGGUCUCCCGAAGGCGGAAAUCAAGCAUGUGCAAUAUAUUUCAUUGUCACAAUAAUUGGUUCAUUUUCUAUUAUAAAAACAUAAGGGGUUGUUUGGAAGAAAAGGCAGGAGGAGAAUAAUAUCACUAAUUUUGUACGACUUCCAUAAUACCCAGUAAAAACACUUAAUUUGUUUCUUUGUAUGUGUUUAUGACGAAUACAAUAAAAAGUGCCUCAUUAUUUUAUUUAGCUCAUGUUAGCAGCUUCUUAUUUCGGGUACUCAAAUUAUUGUUCUUUUUCUCCUACAGAGAUGUUGUAUCUACAUACUAUCUUGAUACUUUUGGCUUAAUUGAAAUCACUAUACCGUAGGAAAAUUAUUUUUUGUAUUGGUUGCUUAUUUGUCAUGCAUUCCUUGUUAGUGGAUCUUCCAACAUUUGUCGCACGAGGCUUUUCUUAUUUUUUAUAUCUUGGGAGGCUGUGCGCGUGGCGACCGACAACGAGCAUGGACAAGCUGCGAUGUUACAGUUUAUGAUGUGUAAUCUGACUGGGUGCCUUCAAAUUCUCACUCCCUGCCGAUGUUUGAUGCUGCUGCUCCUUUCCUACAUGAGGUUCCUAACGAGAUGCAGCCUCAGUUCGCUGUCGACGUAAUGGUCCAGUUCGGUCUACCUCAUUUCACACCAAAGGGUUUGGAUGUCCAUGAGGUUCUUACAGAAACUGCGACAACAGCUAUCAUUGGCGUUUCAUGGAGCUCAUCGAUGCUGCAGGAUGCAGAGGACCACCUGCAGAUGUGUUUUUAGAUAAUGGCCUACAUGUGCUUAGCAGGAAGUAUGAACUAUGAGGUGGAAAGAAAAUCUCAUUGGUUUGGUUUGGUUCCUAAUUUCAGAGAGGUUCUUUCGUUUGCAGAGUUGAGGAUGUGGCACUGACAAUGGUUCUCCACACAAGUUCCAGAACUUGUGACUCUUGCCAUCAAUGUGUAUGCUUCUCUCCGUUCUUGAACCCUUCUUACUGAUUUGAUUAAUUGGAUAGAAUAUUAUGGUCAAUGAAGGAAUUUAUGCCUGGAUUUAUGACAAAUAGCCUUAUAUGUUUGUGGGAUACUACAUCAAAAUCAUAUGUCUGUAAUAGUCUUUCAAAUGUCUAUAAUAUGUUUUUGGGUGUAUCUGCUAACAUGAUUGAGAUAUGAAGCAAGUGGGCAAUAGUUUUUCAUGAUGUGUUAGCCUAUGAACAACAGCUUACUUAAUUGCUUAUUUGCGCCUACUGAUGAAUUAGUGGUACUUGGAUAGCUACUACUAUCUAGAGGUUUGCAUAGGCCAAAAUCUGGAAGCUGCAGCUCGCCGGAAUGAUUUAACCAACACUUCUCCUAUAUUUCCACACUAAAGCUUAAUCGAAUAGCCAGUAUAGAACUUAUGCUAUAUUGCCUAAACUAAAACUUAAUCAAAUAGCUGUACGUAAUUAGAGCAGCGACCACUGCUGCUAAAUUUUAGUUACACUGAUAGUCCAUAUGCGAAUGGGCCAAUCUUUCCUUCAAUGUCAGAUUUGUGUAAUAGCAUUUCUUAUAGCUGUCGGAAGUCUCAGCCUUUUUUUUUGCGAUAACGAAGUCUCAGCCUUAGUGACUAUGGUUUCCGACCCAUGGCUUGGAUGGUUCGUCGAGGUAUCUGUAGAUGUUGAUGUGUUGUUUAAAGACGGAGCUGUCUGCAAGGUCACCAAUAGUCCGAGAGGAUGGGGCUCAUCCAUCGGUGGUGCCACCUCGAGCAUCAGACAAGAAUCAAUUCCUUACCGUAUUCACUUUAUUUCGUUCCAAGGCUCGCCGGGUUUUUUUUGCUGAUAAAGAGUUGCCCUCAUGUACCUGAUCAUCUAGGUAAAUAUACAUAUGCUUAAUGAGUUCUCCGCGGUCUGCCAGUCUGCAACACAUAACUCAUGCAUACUUAUACACUAAUACAGCGCAGACGACGUCGCAGAAAGCUCAAGCGGAUGGACAAAGCAAUAAGAAAGCCUGGAUCAGAGUCAGAGAUAAGGAGAUUGUGAUAGCUACAGCUGAAGAGGCAACAAGGACAUGCUGAUUUCUAGAUCGGACAUCCUACUUAAGUAGCCGAGCAAGUGGUGUUGCAAAGGAAUCGGUGAUCAGGACUUUGCUAUGGUCUGCGGCUGCGUGCCUGAGAAAAGGCCAUGGCUCUGGUUAUUGUAUUAUUUUUGUUUUGUUAGCGUGCUAAUUGGCUUGAAAAGGACACAUCCCAUUUUUAUGACAUAAUCUCAUAUUCCUUUAGAUUCAAAAAUUAUAUCUAUGUUGUUUUAAAACUUAUGUAUGUAGCUCCCCUGUGCUUAUUAUA